rnacentral:lncRNA from 1 species
AUGACAACUUCCCUGCAGCACCUCCAGAGAGAUGGCAGUGCCUGGAGAGGCUCUGCUUUUCCAUGAUCCUUUGAGGCAGACAGGGGCUAUCUUGGAGGAAGCAGAAAAUGCGGAGUCGGAGACAGAAGGGGAUGACAAUGAAGCGCGGUUAAAUUAUGGUUCUAUUCAGCUGACUGUGAGAUGGAGAGAUUAUCCUUGACUAUCCUGGUGGGUGCAGCAAAAUCACAAGGGUCCUUAGAAGUGAAAGGAUGCAGGAGAGAGUCGGCCUGGUGUGAUGUGAGAAAGACUGGACCUGGUGGUCAUUGCUGGCUUUCAAGCUGGAAAGGGACCAGGAGUGAAAGAAUGUGGGUUCUUCUAUAGAAUGAAAGAAGAAAGAGAAAGAACUCUUUUCCAGAGACUCCAAGGGGAACACAGCCUAGAGGACAACUUAAUUUUAGCCUAGUGAGUCUCAUUUCAGAUUUCUGACCUGUAAGUCCAUAAGAUCAUAAAUUUGUUUGCUUAUUUAUUUAUUUAUUUUGAGACAAGGUCUUGCUCUGUCGCCCAGGCUGGAGUGCAGUGGCAUGAUCUUGGCUCACUGCAACCUCUGCCUCCAAGGUUCCAGCGACUUUCCCACCUCCAACUCUCUAGUAGCUGGGACUACAGGCGCCCACCACCACACCUGGCUAAUUUUUGUAUUUUUAGCAGAGACGGUGUUUCACCAUGUUGGCCAGGCUGGUCUUGAACUCCUGGCCUCGGGUGAUCUGCCUGCUUUGGCCUCCCAAAGUGCUGGGACUACAGGCAUGAGCCACUGCGCCCAGACCAUAAGAUAAUAAAUUGAUGAUGUUUUGAGCUACCAAGUUUGCGGUCAUUUGUAAUGACAGUCGUGGGAAACCACACCACAGAUAUGGA